AACGAACGCUGGCGGCAUGCCUAACACAUGCAAGUCGAACGAAGUCUUCGGACUUAGUGGCGCACGGGUGCGUAACGCGUGGGAAUCUGCCCUUGGGUGCGGAAUAACUUCUCGAAAGGGAUGCUAAUACCGCAUAAUGUCGUAAGACCAAAGAUUUAUCGCCCAAGGAUGAGCCCGCGUAAGAUUAGCUAGUUGGUGGGUAAAAGCCUACCAAGGCGACGAUCUUUAGCUGGUCUGAGAGGAUGAUCAGCCACACUGGGACUGAGACACGGCCCAGACUCCUACGGGAGGCAGCAGUGGGGGAAUAUUGGACAA
rnacentral:rRNA from 1 species